UACGUAUGGUGCAAGCGUUAUCCGGAUUUACUGGGCGUAAAGGGAGCGCAGGCGGCGCGCCAAGUCUGAUGUGAAACCCCGGGGCUCAACCCCGGGCAUGCAUUGGAAACUGGCGGGCUGGAGUGCCGGAGAGGUAAGCGGAAUUCCUAGUGUAGCGGUGAAAUGCGUAGAUAUUAGGAGGAACACCAGUGGCGGAGGCGGCUUACUGGACGGCAACUGAUGCUGAGGCUCGAAAGCGUGGGGAGCAAACAGG
rnacentral:rRNA from 1 species